rnacentral:rRNA from 1 species
CUAGUCCUACGGGGGGCAGCAGUGGGGGAUAUUGCACAAUGGGGGGAACCCUGAUGCAGCGACGCCGCGUGGGUGAAGGAGGGUUUCGGCUCGUAAAGCUCUGUUGGUAGUGAAGAAAGAUAGAGGUAGUAACUGGCCUUUAUUUGACGGUAAUUACUUAGAAAGUCACGGCUAACUACGUGCCAGCAGCCGCGGUAAUACGUAGGUGGCAAGCGUUGUCCGGAUUUAUUGGGCGUAAAGCGAGUGCAGGCGGUU